GAGAGAGACUUCCUGCUCUACCUUGACGACCUGUUAUGGAUACGGUGGACAACUUACGUCCAGCCCAUGGUACUAGGGUACCGACCACGGAUAACUCAGAAUCUCGUCUACCGCCAGCUCCUGCUUCCAAACCCUAGAUUUAUUAAUACGACAUGGACCCACCUGAGCAACGCAGGGUACGGCCCACCUACUCCUGGUAUCCAGGAUCCUCUGAAAAAUUCUCUGGUAAUGAUAAACCAGUAGUCCCAUUGGCAAAAGGCAAGCGACUAUGAUGAUCGGAAUAGUGAAGCAAAGUGAUAUGUUGACCACGUCAUUUUUUGGAAAUACCAAAGUACAAAUGGUACCGUCAGCCACUUCCUGUCGUGUCAGAACAAAAAAGAGACAUCAACAGCAACUAAGACAUGCAUUUUUAUCUAAAAUGACGUAACACAGCUCAGAGAGUUCGCUUGAAAAAUGACUUACCCUGGGUCGAAACCAAAAGGCAGCAGGAAGAAACAAGGAGGCUGCUAUCGCCCACGUUAUGAGACUAGCCGCAAGAACUCGGGGUCCUGUUAAGGCGCUUCUAUAUGGAGCGAUCGCCAGACAUCUGUGUCUGUCCAUAGAAAUCAAUGUCAACGUCCAAAGUAGUACAAAUCCACAGACAAACUGGAAAAGUACAAGGUUACAUUCACGUAAAUUUAUUUUCCUAACGACUUAUUGUACUGAUUCAACGGUUAGCAUUGAUUUUGGUCUGACAUUAUGUAAUUUUAAAUAGCUGUUAUUCGAGGAAAAAAUGCAGGCGAAAUUCAAGCAAGAGUACGACGCAUAAUUAGUAAAAUGCUUACUGGACAAAAGGUAAAUGAACGUCUGUCACUCAUUAAGUCAGAUACGCAAAGAAAAUGCUGAAUAACGUAACAAGGAAUGAGUGACAUUUCAGCAAAAUAUUUUAAUACGUACCCGAAUAAUGUUUUUGCUGUAUUGUCAGUGGCUAAUAAA